rnacentral:rRNA from 1 species
UUCUGCCCUAUCAACUUGUUGGUAAGGUAGUGGCUUACCAAGAUUAUUACGGGUAACGGGGAAUCAGGGUUCGAUUCCGGAGAGGGAGCCUGAGAAACGGCUACCACAUCCAAGGAAGGCAGCAGGCGCGCAAAUUAUCCAAUCCAGAUACUGGGAGAUGGUAACGAGGAAUACCAGGUUGUUUUCAAUAGAAUUCAGCACUGGAAUGAAUGUAACUUAAAAAAUUCAAUGAUUAGCAACUGGAGGGCAAGUCUGGUGCCAGCAGCCGCGGUAAUUCCAGCUCCAGUAGUGUAUUCUAAAGUUGCUGCGGUUAAAACGCUCGUAGUUGGACAAUAGAGUAACUUAGUGCAGGCGGGGGAGAUUAUAUACAUUUUCUGGUUAAUAAAUAUGAGCUUUGCGAGUAUUUAUUGCUGGUUUAUGCAUUACUUCGUCGACCGUGUAGCUAAGUUACUUGGAAUAUUUUGUGAGAAUAAUACAUGACCUUUAUUGUGUCGUAUAUUGUAUCUUGCAUGGCGUGCCUUGAAUAAAUCAGAGUGCUCAAAGCAAGCUACGCUUGAAUGUUAAUAGCAUGGAACGAAUGUUUUGUGAAAGUAUAUAUGGUUUUUCUUUGAUUAAUCAUAUAUACAGCACCAACCACGAAGCAGAACAUUGGUAGCUGUCUUCGGGUGAUGAUUAAGAGGGGCAUUUGGGGGCAUUAGUAUUUGAACGCGAGAGGUGAAAUUCUUGGACCGUUCAAGGACUAACAAGUGCGAAAGCAUUUGCCAAGGAUGUUCCCUUUAAUCAAGAACGAAAGUGAGAGGAUCGAAGACGAUCAGAUACCGUCCUAGUUCUCACCGUAAACUAUGCCAACCCGGGAUCAGCUCGGAUGAACUUUUUUGGAUCCAGGUUGGUCCCCCCGUGAAACC